CAGCAGGCGCGAAAACUUUACAAUGCGGGAAACCUUGAUAAGGGAACUCCGAGUGCCCGUAAAAUCGGGCCGUCCAUCUGUUUAAAUAACUGGUGAAGAAAGGGCCGGGCAAGACCGGUGCCAGCCGCCGCGGUAAUACUGGCGGCUCGAGUGGUGACCACUAUUACUGGGCUUAAAGCGUUCGUAGGUGGUCUGUUAAGUCUCUGGGGAAAUCUACCGGCUUAACCAAUAGGUGUUUCAGGGAUACUGGCAGACUAGGGACCGGGAGAGGUGAGGGGUACUCCAGGGGUAGGAGUGAAAUCCUGUAAUCCUUGGGGGACCAUCCUGUGGGGAAGGCGCCUCACCAGAACGGCUCCGACAGUGAGGGAAGAAAGCUGGGGCGAGCAAACCGGAUUAGAUACCCGGGUAGUCCCAACCGUUAACGAUGCGCCUUAGGUGUAUCGGUGACCACGAGUCACCGAGGUGCCGAAGAGAAAUCGUGAAACGUGCCGCCUGGGAAGUACGGUCGCAAGGCUGAAACUUAAAGGAAUCGGCGGGCGAGCACAAGGGCGAAUUCGCG
rnacentral:rRNA from 1 species